rnacentral:tRNA from 1 species
GGGCGUUUAGCUCAUCUGGUAGAGCGCUCGCUUCGCAUGCGAGAGGUACUGAGUUCGAUUCUCAGAUCGUCCA